CCUGUUCCUACAGGCAUUGCAGGUGUGGCUGCUGUGUCACAUGUGCGUCAGCAGGUGGCAGAGAGGAGAGGGUCUGUCAAUGCUCAGUGUUCUGACCUGUGAACAUCCUAACAUUACCUGAAAAA
rnacentral:snoRNA from 1 species